UGGGGAAUUUUGGACAAUGGGGGCAACCCUGAUCCAGCGAUGCCGCGAGUGUGAAGAAGGCCUUCGGGUUGUAAAGCACUUUUGUCCGGGAAGAAAUCGCACCUGAGAAUACCGGGUGUGGAUGACGGUACCGGAAGAAUAAGGACCGGCUAACUACGUGCCAGCAGCCGAGGUAAUACGUAGGGUCCAAGCGUUAAUCGGAAUUACUGGGCGUAAAGCGUGCGCAGGCGGUUGUGCAAGACCGAUGUGAAAUCCCCGGGCUUAACCUGGGAAUUGCAUUGGUGACUGCACGGCUAGAGUGUGUCAGAGGGGGGUAGAAUUCCACGUGUAGCAGUGAAAUGCGUAGAGAUGUGGAGGAAUACCGAUGGCGAAGGCAGCCCCCUGGGAUAACACUGACGCUCAUGCACGAAAGCGUGGGGAGCAAACAGG
rnacentral:rRNA from 1 species